UACGUAGGGGGCAAGCGUUGUCCGGAAUUAUUGGGCGUAAAGAGCGCGUAGGCGGUCCGAUAAGUCGGCUGUGAAAGUCCAGGGCUCAACCCUGGGAUGCCGGUGGAUACUGCUGAACUAGAGUGCGGAAGAGGCGAGUGGAAUUCCCGGUGUAGCGGUGAAAUGCGCAGAUAUCGGGAGGAACACCAAUUGCGAAGGCAGCUCGCUGGGACGUUACUGACGCUGAGACGCGAAAGCGUGGGGAGCAAACAGG
rnacentral:rRNA from 1 species